rnacentral:lncRNA from 1 species
GACGAAAGUCUCUUUUCGGGGGCAACUUCGGCAGCCGAAAGGCCUGCCUCCCCAGCCAUGUUCGGCGGCCGAAAGUGCCUUCGGCUGCCGAACCUGGUUUCUGCCAAAGGGCAGAAACUCGGUUCCUAUGUGCAUUUUCGCCUCCAAACUCACCAAUCAUGCAUAUAUCUCAACCAAAACAUGCAUACAAGUUCCUAGGGGCCUCAAAACAUCAAAUACCCCAACUACAACACUUCAAGCAUACUCAAACGUGUCACAUUGUUUAUAAAUCACAUAAAACCUAACAUUUGCUUAAAAACUCAUACAACCCUAUACAUGCCAUUCUACCCCAUAAAAUCACUUAAAACUUACUUAAAACACAUGAGGAGCUUAAGAUCGGCUCUUACCUCUUGAAGAUCGAGAGGGAGACGACCUAAACUUGGAGAUCCACGAAAAUGAGCUCCUGAGUUCCCAAAGCUCCAAAACUUGGUUUAAAAGCUCAAAACCUUCAAUGCAAGCUUAAAACUCAAGAAAAAUGGUAGAGAUUUGGAGGAAGAGCACAAGAGUUGCAAAGGGAAGGUCGGAAGCUUGCUGUGGCCGGAAAUGGGAGAAAGCUCGCCCAUUUCGGCUAAGUGCCCCAUUUAUAGGUGGCUGGCCAGGCCACGUUCGGGGGCCGAAUGUGCCUCCGCAUCCAUGAAAUGUUCGGCGGCCGAACUUGACUUUCGGCGGCCGAACCUGAACUUCCCUAACUCAUGCUUUCGGGGGCCUAACGUGCCUCCAAAACGCAUGCAUGUUCGGCGGCCGAACUUGACUUUCGGCGGCUGAACCUGGGUUUUCCUCCAAUGCUAUUUUCAUGCAAAA